rnacentral:tRNA from 1 species
UACACCGUUGACCACUUCGGCUGGGAUGGCGGUUUCGUGCUGCUGGUCGGCGCUUGCCUGCUGGCGAUGGCGUUCCUUGCGCCAACGCUGUGGC